AAUUUUGGACAAUGGGGGAAACCCUGAUCCAGCCAUCCCGCGCGUGCGAUGAAGGCCUUCGGGUUGUACAGCACUUCUGGCAGGGAAGAAGAGGUUCUGGCUAAUACCCGGAACUGCUGCCGGUACCUGCAGAAUACGCCCCGCCUAACGACGUGCCAGCAGCCGCGGUAAUACGGAGGGUGCAAGCGUUAAUCGGAAUUACGGGGGGUAAAGCGUGCGCAGGCGGUUUGGCAAGAAGGAUGUGAAAUCCCAGGGCUUAACCUUGGAACUGCAUUCUUAACUGCCGGGCUAGAGUAUGUCAGAGGGGGGUAGAAUUCCGCGUGUAGCAGUGAAAUGCGUAGAGAUGCGGAGGAAUACCGAUGGCGAAGGCAGCCCCCUGGGAUAAGACUGACGCUCAUGCACGAAAGCGUGGGGAGCAAACAGG
rnacentral:rRNA from 1 species